UACGUAGGGGGCAAGCGUUGUCCGGAUUUAUUGGGCGUAAAGAGCGUGUAGGCGGCCACACAGGUCUGCUGUGAAAACUCGAGGCUCAACCUCGAGCUGUCGGUGGAAACCGUGUGGCUAGAGUCCGGAAGAGGAGAGUGGAAUUCCCGGUGUAGCGGUGAAAUGCGCAGAUAUCGGGGAAGAACACCCGUGGCGAAGGCGGCUCUCUGGGACGUGACGUGACGCUGAGACGCGAAAGCGUGGGGAGCAAACAGG
rnacentral:rRNA from 1 species